GAUGAACGCUGGCGGCGUGCUUAACACAUGCAAGUCGAACGAUGAAGCCCAGCUUGCUGGGUGGAUUAGUGGCGAACGGGUGAGUAACACGUGAGUAACCUGCCCUUGACUCUGGGAUAAGCCUGGGAAACUGGGUCUAAUACUGGAUAUGACUUCUCAUCGCAUGGUGGGGGGUGGAAAGAUUUAUUGGUCUUGGAUGGACUCGCGGCCUAUCAGCUUGUUGGUGAGGUAAUGGCUCACCAAGGCGACGACGGGUGGCCGGCCUGAGAGGGUGACCGGCCACACUGGGACUGAGACACGGCCCAGACUCCUACGGGAGGCAGCAGUGGGGAAUAUUGCACAAUGGGCGCAAGCCUGAUGCAGCGACGCCGCGUGAGGGAUGACGGCCUUCGGGUUGUAAACCUCUUUCAGUAGGGAAGAAGCGAGAGUGACGGUACCUGCAGAAGAAGCGCCGGCUAACUACGUG
rnacentral:rRNA from 1 species